rnacentral:misc_RNA from 1 species
GAAAUGCGAUAAGUAAUGUGAAUUGCAGAAUCUCGUGAAUCAUCGAAUCUUUGAACGCACAUUGCGCCCUCUGGUAUUCCGGGGGGCAUGCCUGUCCGAGCGUCAUUGCGAACCCCUCAAGCACGGCUUGUGUGAUGGGCCCUCCCGCGUCUUGGUCGUCAAGACGGGCCCGAAAUGCAGUGGCGGCUUCGCGGUUAUCCGAUCAGCCAGAGCGUAUGGGGACUUUCUCUCUGUCACACGCCCGCGGCGCGGACCGACGCCUGUCGACCUUCAUUCAUCGUUUUCUCGGUUGACCUCGGAUCAGGUAGGGAUACCCGCUGAACUUAAGC